rnacentral:lncRNA from 13 species
AACUUUCCACAACCCCCGAAACCUUCGGAAACCAACAACUUGACCAGUCAGCAGCCGUCGACAUCAGGGCAACACCCCCCACCAGCACAGAAUAUGACUUACUGAAGCCUCAGAUGGUUGUUAGCAUUUUUUCAUCAAUAAAGCACUUUUAAUUAAGCUUUCUCUUGCCUGUUUUCUCAUCAAGUGAUCUGUACAUACUGGUUCUCCUUCACCAUCUGCCAUGAGUGGAAGCAGCCUGAGUCCCUCUCCAGAAGCAGACUCAGGCACCAAAGUUCCUAUAAGCCUGCAGAACUGUGAGCUAAAUGAACCUGCUUUCUUUGUAAAUUAUUCAGCCUCAGGUCUUUUUAGCAACACAAAAACAGACUAAAACAAAAAGUCAUUGAUAUUAAUGUAUUAACAUAAGCACAUUGCUUAUAUCCUGUGCCUAAUACAUAAUAUGUGCUCUAAAAAUAGUUUUCUUUUACUAAUACUAAGAAGAUACUACAUUUAGUCAACAAUGGAAAUCCUGAGGCUAACAUCUGGUUGUGGGUGAUGAAAGAAACUUGCUAUGAUUAUGCAUGGUUCUGUGACAACCAGAGGCUCAGCCUGGGACUCUGUUUUCUCUGACCUCACAGAAAAGACACAGCUGGUGAGUGAUGUCAGGGUGUAUCAAUGGAUUUAAGGACAUUUCUCUUACUUUGGUAAGCAAAUUCUUGAGCAUUUGGAUGCUGCAGUGAUUUGAAGAAAGCUGAUAAUAUAUUGUGACAGAAACUCCAAUUGUCAGCCUGGGUCGCCAGAGUUCAUGCCUCACAGGAAUCCAGAAAGAGAAAGCAUGUGCCUCAGCAUCUGGGAAGACACAUUUCUUAUGUGAUCCUCUUGGCUUUCUCGGUGAGACAGACAAUGAAGUGAGAAAGGGAGAAAGGAAAGAACAUUCGAUAGUCGCUGUCACAGAGAAAAGGAAUGGAAAAUUGGUUGGACCCGGGGGAUGAAGAUGUGCCUCUCAUGGACAUAGGCCAAGCCUGUUUCUGUGCCAUUAAAUUGAUAACAACGUGUUUGGAGAUGAGCAAGAUGGAACCGAUGAAGCAUCUGGACUGGAAAAUUCUCACAGUAGGACCUGCUAACUUGAUUCUCUCAUCACCAUGGCAACAGUCUUUGUCAGAAAUGACAAGAUAAAGAAUCCAAUAUAUUUCCUACGUCACUGGCCUGUCUGAAAGCUAAAGCCAUUUCUCAACUAGAAGGAUUACUGAGAUUUCUGAUGGAAGCUAGUACCCGUCAGCAGAUUCAGUCUGGAGGCGUCAUUCCUUGCAUCUAUGGUAAAUAUUAUAAAGCUUUCAACACUGGAAUAAUCAAACCCUAAGCUACUCAUGUGUUCCAAUUUCAAAUUUUUAAAAAAUAGUACUCCAA